UUUUAAAAAGUUACUUGUCUAGUGCACGUGGUGGUACAAAGUUGUAAUCCUGUGCGACAUAGGAGGCUGAAGCAGAGAAUUGAUUUUGAGGCCAAAUUGAGCAACUUAGUGAGCAAGAGCCCAUCUCAAAGGGACAAAAACUUCUACUGGCUGUUGGUAUUCCUUGGUCUAUGGCUGAGUCACUCCUAUUGCAGCCUUCACACUACUUUCUCCUCUUCUGCUCAUGGAAGGACUAUGACUGAUUUAGCCUGAGACUCCUGUCUGCCUUCUUGGCUACUCUGCUUGCUGAUGGGUAUACAUGAAUUUCAGUCAAGACUAUUGAAACAAGGACUCUUCAUAAAAAUCUGUUUAUGUAUUUAUCUGGAAACCCAAUAUCGAAUGAAGAUUUAAAGACAUUGAACUAUGAUUAUGGGCUUCUGAAAAUGGAUAAAUCCCAUUGAAGAGGGCUUCAUUUGUAGAGAGGACAUGAAUACAUAUAGCGAAAUAUGCCUUGCUAAUGUGGUCCUGGCUGGUCAGAAACUGAAACCACCCCAAUCUUUAGGCUUUUCUGUUAUCUGUGUUAAAGAAAAGAAUUCCAAUUGAUCCACUAUAUUAGAUUACAUGUUCUUCCAAUAUAAGUAUCAUAAGUGUGCAAGGGUAGAGUUGGAGAGAAGCCCUUAUACUUUAUACCUAUGGCAGGUAUAUGAGAAAUAGAAACAACUAAAAUUUAUUAAAUGUUUACUAUGUAUACAUCUUGGCCUAUGUUUGUAUU